ensembl:lncRNA
GUCUAAACCAGGACUAAACCAGGUCUAAACCAGGUCUAAACCAGGUCUGAACCAGGACUGAACCAGGUCUAAACCAGGUCUAAACCAGGUCUAAACCAGGUCUAAACCAGGACUAAACCAGGACUAAACCAGGACUGAACCAGGACUGAACCAGGUCUAAACCAGGACUAAACCAGGACUAAACCAGGACUAAACCAGGUCUAAACCAGGACUAAACCAGGACUAAACCAGGUCUAAACCAGGACUAAACCAGGACUAAACCAGGUCUAAACCAGGACUGAACCAGGACUAAACCAGGACUAAACCAGGUCUAAACCAGGACUAAACCAGGUCUAAACCAGGUCUAAACCAGGACUAAACCAGGACUAAACCAGGACUAAACCAGGUCUAAACCAGGACUAAACCAGGUCUAAACCAGGACUAAUCCAGGACUAAACCAGGACUAAACCAGGUCUAAAC